GGUACGCUCAAGAUAACGGACUAACUUUCACAAAAGCUAAUUCUUAGACUAAAUCUCAAAGUAAGACAUAACAAUAUUAUAUUUUAUAAGCAAAUUCAUCAAAUAACUUAUACUAAUUUGAUGAAUUUUUUAAAUAAAUCAUUAAUUAGAGAUUCAGUAGUUCUACAAAAUAGAUGGAAAAUAAUUAUGAAAGUUUCUUUAAAUUGGUUGAAAGAACUUGCUAAAAUAGAGAUAAUAGACGCUCAUAGUUUAGCUAAUAAGUUAACACAAGCAGGCUUUGAAGUAGAAGAUGUUGAAAUGGUUAAUAUAGAUGGCCAUAAAGACUACAUCUUAGAUGUUACAUCAACAGCAAAUCGAUCAGAUGUACUUAGUAUGAUAGGACUCUCUAGAGAAGUUUCUGCUUUAACUCAAGCUGAUAUAGUUAAGACAGCUGAUAUUCCAUCAGCAGGCUUAUUCGAUAAUAUAAGCACCAUAAUAAGCGAUGAUAGUCUUUUAAAUUGCAGUUACUAUGUAUCAGCAAUUAUGGAUAAUAUAGUCAUACAAGAUUCUCCAAAAUGGCUAAAAAAUCGCCUAUAUUCUUGUGGCUUUAUAAGCCAAAAUCUUAUAAUAGAUAUUAGUAAUUAUAUUAUGUUGAAAUGGGGACAACCAAUUAAUAUUAUAGAUUUAAAGAAAAUUGCUGAUACUAAUACUGAAAGUUAUAUCGAGAUCACUAGUAAUUUCUGCUCUUCUAAGCAAAAAUCCGUUAAAUUAGACAAUAAAGAUAUCGCUUUAAGCAGAGAUGUUUUAAUUACUCAAAUAAAUAAUAAUAUAACGAGUAUUGCAGGUAUUGGAAUAAAUCAGGAAUUUCAUGUCGAUCAAAACACGAAGUUAAUAUUUAUAGAAGCUGCAAUAUUUAAAGAAGCAGUGGUUAGAAAAUCAUCAAGAAGUAUUGGUAUUCGUACUGAAAGUUCAAUUAGACAGGAAAGAGGACUUAAUAUAGAUAAUGGGAGAAGUGCUUAUCGUGAAACUUUAUCUUUACUAAUAGAAUUAACUCACGGAAAGGUAAAAGCAACAUUUUUAAAAAAAGAAACUGAAAAUUCCACUCUUAAUAUUGAUAUAUCAUUAAAGAAGAUUCAAGAUGUUUUAGGACCGAUCAAAGAUAAUCAUACAGUUCGUUUUUUAUCUUUUGAUGAGAUUGAAAAUACACUUAAAUCUCUUCAGUUCAAGAUUACAAAAAAAGAUGUUAAGAAAUUUAAUGUAAUUAUCCCUAGUUAUAGGAAAUAUGAUGUAUUUCGAGAAAUUGAUAUUGUUGAAGAAAUUGCUAGAGUUUAUGGUUACAAUCAAUUCCAAAGUAAAAUACCAAAAAUUCAAUUUACCAAGCAUCCAUCCUCUAGAAGGAAUUUUAUUGAUCAGAUUAGAAAUAUUUUAAGAAAUUUAGGAUUAACAGAGUUAGUGCAUUAUUCGUUAGUGAAAUCAAAAGGAGAAAUUAAUUUAAAGAACCCUCUUAUUAAAGAUUACUCUACUUUACGCUCUAGCUUACUAGAAGGUUUAAUAAAUGCCAGUGCGUAUAAUAUAAAGCAAAGUAAUCAAACUGUAGAUGGAUUUGAAAUAGGAACUGUAUUUAACCUAAAACGAAACAAAAUCAUAGAAACAACAAAACUAGCUAUUAUAUUAGGAGGAAGCUUAGAUAUUAGAUCAGAAUGGUCAGAACCUGCACAUUCUUUAAAUUGGUAUGAAGCAAAGGGCAUCAUUGAAAACUUUUUUCGAAAAUUAAAUAAAAGCAUUCAAUGGGUAAAAAGAGAAUCAUCAAAUGAUCAAAUAAAUUUCAUUCAAAAUAAUAAAUCAGCUACUUUAACUUAUAACAAUGAUAAUAUUGGAUUAUUUGGUGAACUCAACGAAUUAACAUCUUCACAAUUUGGCUUUAAUACAGAAUUAUUUGUUCUAGAAAUUGAUUUAGAUAUCUUACAGUACUCUGAUCCAGAAAUUAACUAUUUAAGUUAUCGCAUUCAGCCUUAUUCUAAAUAUCCGUGUAUUACACGAGAUUUGUGUAUAGUCAUACCAAAAAAAAUGCAGAUAAAUUCUUUAUUUCAAUUAUUAAAUCAAUUUAAUGAUAAUGAUUUAGAAAAUAUGACAUUAUUUGAUCAGUAUAGCAAUAAAUUACUUGGAAACGGCAAAAAAAGUAUAGGACUACGUUUUACAUAUAGAUCGGAUCAUAAAACUUUGACAAAUUUAGAAAUAGAUAAUAAGCAAAAUGAACUUCAAAAAAAUAUUAUCAAAAAACUGAAUUUAGAAAUUCGUAAAUAAUUAGUAUUAGACAAGACAUAAAAAGUACUACAUAAGCCGGGUUCUGUUCUCCGAAUACAUUGCACAAGUAUUUCGAAGGAUAGCUAUUCCUCUAGAGUUAUUGUUGCCAAUAACUUCAUGCAGUAUUUUAGACUAAACUACUGAAAAAUACAAAAAAUUUAUUUAGUCGCUUUGCUCCGUUUUUGGGGUUUACCUAACAAAUACUUUACAGUAUUUUUGGUAAGCUUUUAACUUACCUUUGCACCCUUACCAGCUAACAUAAUUUGUUCUGGCGGUUUAUUUCUGUGGCACGUUCCUCAUAGUUUCCUACACUGGGGUUUUUCCAGCACAAAUUGUAUUUGUGGAGCCCGGACUUUCCUCAGACUAUAUUAAAUCAAAUCUGCAGCUAUCUACGUUUACUUUUUAUGUCUUGCAUAUAUUCUAAUAUAUUUAAAAGAAUGAUUACAAUAACUUGCACCAAGGUUUUUAUAAACUAUUAGUAGACUAUACGAUCAAAUAUAAUUUAAAAUUAAUUUUCCUAAAUAUGACAAAAAAUAACGAAAGUUUUACUCAUCGAAAUUUUGCAGCUGUCUUGCAAAAAUACAAGUAUGACUUAAAUCUUGGUGAUAUUGUAGCUGGUACAAUAUUUAGUUUUGAACUCAAUGGGGUAUUAGUAGAUAUUGGAACACCUGUGUCAGCAUAUUUGCCAAUACAAGAAGUCUCUAGUAAUCAAGAGCUAAAUAAUUUCAACUCUUUAAACAUCAACGAUACUAGAGAAUUCUUCUUAUUAGAUUAUAAUGUUGAGUCAAGGCAACUAAUUUUAUCUAUUCGGCGUCUUGAAUACAUAAGAGCCUGGAAGAGAAUUAGGCAAUUACUAGCUGAAGAUUCUUUACUCGAUGUUAGAAUCAAAGGAUUUAAUAAAGGAGGCAUGAUAGUUAACCUAGAAGGCAUAUCUGGUUUUGUUCCAAAUUCUCAUCUGAACAAUUUCUCCAAAAACACCUCUUCUACAAAUAAAUUCAUUAAACUCAAAUUACUUAACGUUGAAGAAAAAUCAAAUAAUCUGAUACUCAGUCAUAGGCGAGCUUUAAUAGCUCAAGCUUCCUCUAAUCUAAUUGUUGGAAAUAUUAUCGAAGGAGUAAUCAAUCAAAUUACGCCUUACGGAUUAUUUAUAAAGGCUGGUAAUCUAAAAGGACUGGUACAUAUUUCUGAAAUUAAUGUUAAACAAGUAGAGAGAAUACCAUCUCAAUUCAAAAUAGGGGACACAAUCAAAGCAGUUAUUAUUCAUGUAGAUAAAAAACAAGGGCGACUGUCAUUAUCCAUGAAACAUUUGAAAUGA
rnacentral:misc_RNA from 1 species